rnacentral:lncRNA from 11 species
GUCUAGAUGGUCUUUGAAGGUCUCUUUGCUUAGCUAUUGCCUUAUGAGACUCAUCUAGAUGGCUUUUGGAGGUCACUUUCCUUACCUAUGGUUUUAUGAGACCAUCUAGAUGGCCUUUGAGGGUCCCUUUCCCUACCUAGGGUUUUAUGAGAUUAUCUAGAUGGCCUUUGGGGGCCCCUUUCCCUACCUAGGGUUUUAUGAGAUUAUCUAGAUGGCCUUUGAGGGCCCCUUUCCUUACGUAUGGUCUUAUGAAACCAUCUAGAUGGUCUUUGAGGGUCCUUUUCCUUAUCUAUGGUUUUCUGAUGGCAUUAUGAUAUCAUCUACAUGGCCUUUGAGGGUCCUUUUCCUUACUGAUGGUCUUAUGACACCAUCUAGAUGGACUUUGGAGGUCUCUUUGCUUACCUAUGGUCUUAUGACAUCGUCUAGAUCUGGGGUCCCCAAACUAAGGCCCUCCAAGGUCAUUUACCCUGGCCUCUGUCCUAAACUUCAGACUUAGGGUUGACCUGAAACGACUUGAAGGCACGCAACAACAACAAUCUAAUUUUGGACUAUUUCAUCAUAGUCUGGCCCCCCAACAAUGUGAGGGACUGUGAACCCUCCACUUAAAAAGUUUGAGGACCCCUGCUCUAUCUCCUUGGGAAAAGUGACUAAAAUGAAAAACAAAUUGUUGUAUACAAACCAAGUGAUGAAAGAGUCACAUCACGACUGCAUGCUGUGUCACAAUGGAUGAAAUCAACAUCAGCCUCGAGGUCCUCUCCAGGAGAUUGGGUUCCCAAGAGCCCUCCUUGGGGGGCACAAAAGUCAGGCGGGGACCCCAAAAUGAGAUCAUUUGCAUGGCUACAAAAAUGAAAGGACAUAGCGGAUGACAGGAUUGUAAAAAAUUGUUGCCACUUUUGGAUAUGGGACCUUGGUAGAAAGUGUUUCUUGAAGCGGGAUUUGCUUCUAUUACUUUUCUUUUAGACUUCAACUCUGAUGGAUUUUGCUGCCUGUCCAGACUGGAUGGAGGGACUAAGACACAGAUUCAUGAAUUGCACAGUGGAGCCUGGGACUCAGCCACCUUCCGAAACCAACUUUAAGAUGACCGUCAGAAUGAGAGGAACUGUGUCAAGGGUGCCUUCGGCGUCUCCACCACCACAGGAUCCAGGAAACUCAAGAGGAGAAGCACUGCUUUCCAUCACAAGGUGCCCCGCGGGUGCUCUCUGGUUUGGUGAGAGGGAAGAAGGGGUGCAAAGGCCUGUUGUAUGUAUGUAGGGAAGCACUUAAAAGAUAGAAAUGCUCGCUAUACUCUGUGCUCAAGCAUUUUUCAUCUCCAGCGACUCUCCCAACACAGUGCCAUCUAGACAGUAAGGCUUUGCUAUAUAUCAUUUGUAUUAGACAGACAAUAAAGUCUGCUCCACUUGAAUUUGUCACUACGGUCCUCUGUGUAGCCUGCCAACCAUGGCUGUUGUUGCUUGUUGUAAAACAGGCUUUGACUUAAGGCAGCCCUAUGAACUAAAGACCUCCAAGUCCACUGCUCAGGUCUUAGUUGAGUCUAUCCAUCAGUAAUGGGGGUUUUCUUGUUUUGCUCUUGCCUUCCAUUUUACCAAGCAUUGUUAUGUGUCAUUCUUCUAAUAUGAUCCACGGGUCUGAUGAUAUAAUGACUGAGAUCUUACACAAAGGAGAAGGAAUGUGUGAGUGUGAAGUUAGUAAUCCACAGUGAGGCAGGACUGGGAUAAAAUGUGUAUCUUGCUUCACUUUCCUAGCCUGAAAGUUUGCAUGACUAAAGAGGAUUGGGAGUAAAAUACCAUCGGCCCUCCACAUUUGUUGCGGUAAGGGAUGUAAGACCCCUGAUAAAAAUGGAAAAAACUUCAUUUUAAGGAAACUCUACAUCUUCC